CACGUAGUUAGCCGUGGCUUAUUCAAGGGGUACCGUCAUUUGUUCGUCCCCCUUAAAAGAAGUUUACAACCCGAAAGCCUUCUUCCUUCACGCGGCGUUGCUGGGUCAGGCUUGCGCCCAUUGCCCAAUAUUCCCCACUGCUGACUCCCGUAGGAGUCUGGGCCGUGUCUCAGUCCCAAUGUGGCCGGCCAACCUCUCAGUCCGGCUACUGAUCGUCGCCUUGGUGGGCCGUUGCCCCGCCAACUAGCUAAUCAGACGCGAGCUCAUCUCAGAGCGAUAAAUCUUUGGCGUCCAGAGAGAUGCCUCCCAGACGCGUCAUGCGGUAUUAGCGGCUGUUUCCAACCGUUAUUCCCCACUCCAAGGCAGAUUGCUCACGCGUUACUCACCCGUCCGCCACUUUCCCCAACUUCAUUUGGACGAAUCCUCAAUCCGUUGGUUCUCGUUCGACUUGCAUGUGUUAAGCACGCCGCCAGCGUUCAUCCUGACGCCAGGAUCAAACUCU
rnacentral:rRNA from 1 species